rnacentral:rRNA from 1 species
GAAGAAGGCGGGCGGCGUGCCUAAUACAUGCAAGUCGAGCGAAGUUUUUCUGGUGCUUGCACCGGAAAAACUUAGCGGCGAACGGGUGAGUAACACGUAAAGAGCCUGCCUCAUAGACUGGGACAACUAUUGGAAACGAUAGCUAAUACCGGAUAAUAGCAUUAACUGCAUGGUUGAUGUUUAAAAGUUGGUUUUGCUAACACUAUGAGAUGGCUUUGCGGUGCAUUAGCUAGUUGGUGGGGUAAAGGCCUACCAAGGCGACGAUGCAUAGCCGACCUGAGAGGGUGAUCGGCCACACUGGGACUGAGACACGGCCCAGACUCCUACGGGAGGCAGCAGUAGGGAAUCUUCCGCAAUGGGCGAAAGCCUGACGGAGCAACGCCGCGUGAGUGAAGAAGGAUUUCGGUUCGUAAAGCUCUGUUGUUAGGGAAGAAUGAUUGUGUAGUAACUAUACACAGUAGAGACGGUACCUAACCAGAAAGCCACGGCUAACUACGUG